GAUGAACGCUGGCGGCGUGCCUAAUACAUGCAAGUCGAGCGAACAGAUGAGGAGCUUGCUCCUCUGACGUUAGCGGCGGACGGGUGAGUAACACGUGGAUAACCUACCUAUAAGACUGGGAUAACUUCGGGAAACCGGAGCUAAUACCGGAUAAUAUAUUGAACCGCAUGGUUCAAUAGUGAAAGACGGUUUUGCUGUCACUUAUAGAUGGAUCCGCGCCGCAUUAGCUAGUUGGUAAGGUAACGGCUUACCAAGGCAACGAUGCGUAGCCGACCUGAGAGGGUGAUCGGCCAAACUGGAACGGAGACACGGUCCAGACUCCUACGGGAGGCAGCAGUAGGGAAUCUUCCGCAAUGGGCGAAAGCCUGACGGAGCAACGCGGCGUGAGUGAUGAAGGUCUUCGGAUCGUAAAACUCUGUUAUUAGGGAAGAAAAAAUGUGUAAGUAACUAUGCACGUCUUGACGGUACCAAAUAAGAAAGCCACGGCUAACUACGU
rnacentral:rRNA from 1 species